UACGGAGGGUGCAAGCGUUAUCCGGAUUUACUGGGUUUAAAGGGUGCGCAGGCGGAUAUGUAAGUCAGUGGUGAAAUCUCUAGGCUUAUCCUGGAAAUUGCCGUUGAUACUAUAUAUCUUGAAUGCUGUGGAGGUAAGCGGAAUAUGUCAUGUAGCGGUGAAAUGCUUAGAUAUGACAUAGAACACCUAUUGCGAAGGCAGCUUACUACGCAGAUAUUGACGCUCAUGCACGAAAGCGUGGGGAUCAAACAGG
rnacentral:rRNA from 1 species